rnacentral:rRNA from 1 species
AGAUAAUAGAUACCCGGGUAGUCCACGCCGUAAAACGAUGAGCACUAGGUGUCGGGGGGUAUCGACCCCCUCGGUGCCGCAGCCAAACGCGAUAAGUAGCUCCGUCUGGGGACGUACGGCCGCAAGGCUAAAACUACAAAGGAAUUGACGGGGGCCCGGCACAAGCAGCGGAGCGUGUGGUUUAAAUUUCGACGCAACGCGAAGAACCUUACCUGGGCUUGACAUGCGCGUGGUACGACCUCGAAAGGGGGAGGACCCGCAAGGGAGCGCGCACAGAUGCUGCAUGGCUGUCGUCAGCUCGUGCCGUGAGGUGUUGGGUUAAGUCCCGCAACGAGCGCAACCCUCGCUGCCAGUUACGAUGUCUGGCGGGACCGCCGGGUCCAACCCGGAGGAAGGUGGGGAUGACGUCAAGUCAGCAC